CAUGCUCUGGGAAAGAUUUCUGCCAUCCUCUGGGGUGGGGUUGCUUGUGGGGGCCACAGCAGGCAGGGUUGGCCUCUCAACAGACGGCCUGCAGGUCUCCUGGCCUCAGUUAAGCCAGGGCCCCAGGGGUCUGACACUGAGUUUUUCAACGUCUGUUCUCUUUUUCUUUCUCUCUGCCUUGCCCCACUUCUGUCCCUCCACCCUGGGAGCACCAACGCCGCUGGGGUUUCUCUCUCGUUUGCUCCGCUUUCCUGCUGCUGCUGCUCCUGUCUCAAGUGUAUCAAGGCCUUCUUCUCAUGACUUUUCUUUCUGUCUUUCAGAUAGUUUCAAACAAAAGCAUACCUCGAAAGCGCCCCAGAGAGGUAGCUCUCUCAACUUUUCAGACUUGUGGUUUUCCUUUCCCUUUUCCCUCUUCCCUUGUUCCUCCUGCCUUUCUCAUUUCCUGGGAUGCUAGCUUUAAAAUCUCUGGAAUGGCAUGGGGGUAGGAGCAGUGGAACUUCUGCUGUGCUCUACUCCUCAAAGUCCUGGAGGCUGCCUUUACCACUGCUUGUCUCCCACAAACCUGCCCCUAGAGCUGCUCGGCCCAGUGCAUGGGGUGGCUUCAGAAGCAUUAUCAGGAGCCCAUUACAAUCAGACCCUUCCGCUCCCUCCCCAGACCAGGCACCUGGUGGGCAGCUCAUGUUCCCCACCGCCCCACCACCUCCUCCUGCCAUCCUCUCUCCCCACUCCUUUCCUGCUGGCCCCCUUGCCCUUCUUGGUAUUACUUCUCAAGAUGACAAAAUGCCUCGUGGGGAUCUGCUUUCCUUGCUGAUUGGCAGGCCUGGACAGGGCAAUUACGUGGGAGUGUGCUUGAAUUUCUUUGGGGACCAACUGCCCAACUGGCUUCAUUGAUAGGAUAUCCCCAAGAAACCCAUCCCCUGCUUGUUCACCCACAUUCAGAGGAGAUGGGCUCCAUGGUGUGUGUGGGGUAGCAUGAGCCUCCCACAUUUACUGAGGGGUAAAAAAGUUUGGAGUCUUACCCACUUUUCCCCCGUCCUGUCACACCAAAGAUAUAGGAAUAUCCUUCCCUUUCCUGACGUGGAGCGUCCCAGACUGUUAGUAUAUCCCAGAGCAGCUAACUGGUGAUGGGGUGAGGGCUAAGCCCCCCAAAAGUCAAGACUGUUAGUAUAUCCCAGAGCAGCUAACUGGUGAUGGGGUGAGGGCUAAGCCCCCCAAAAGUCAACAUGGAAGAGCAGUGGUGGCCAUGGGGUUGGAGUUCAGGAGGGAAAAGAGCCCCAGAAGCUAGAGAGCCCCACGGCCUGAUGCUCCUGGCUGAGGGGAAGGGGCCAUCACUCAAGGCCUGUCCCAGAGUGGAGCUGCUAGGGGAAGGGAUGGUUGCCCUCUGCCUCAGGUGGAGCCCCCACAGCUUGCAGGGGUGGGGACAUGGCACUCUUGUAUCCUAACACCUUUCUCUGCAAUCUUCUCCCCACUCAGUUUGUGGAAAACGUUACAAGAACCGACCAGGCCUCAGUUACCACUAUGCCCACUCCCACUUGGCUGAGGAGGAGGGCGAGGACAAGGAAGACUCCCAACCACCCACUCCUGUCUCCCAGAGGUCUGAGGAGCAGAAAUCCAAAAAAGGUCCUGAUGGAUUGGCCUUGCCCAACAACUACUGUGACUUCUGCCUGGGGGACUCAAAGAUUAACAAGAAGACGGGACAACCCGAGGAGCUGGUGUCCUGUUCUGACUGUGGCCGCUCAGGGCAUCCAUCUUGCCUCCAGUUUACCCCUGUGAUGAUGGCGGCAGUGAAGACAUACCGCUGGCAGUGCAUCGAGUGCAAAUGUUGCAACAUCUGCGGCACCUCCGAGAACGACGACCAGCUGCUCUUCUGUGAUGACUGCGAUCGUGGCUACCACAUGUACUGUCUCACCCCGUCCAUGUCUGAGCCCCCUGAAGGAAGUUGGAGCUGCCACCUGUGUCUGGACCUGUUGAAAGAGAAAGCUUCCAUCUACCAGAACCAGAACUCCUCUUGAUGUGGCCAACCCCCUGCUCCCCGACAUAUCUAAGGCUGUUUCUCUCCUCCACUUCAUAUUUCAUACCCAUCUUUCCCUUCUUCCUCCUCUCCUUCACAAGUCCAGAGAACCUUGGGGUGGUUGUGCCAGCCUGCCUUUGGCAGCUGCAAGCUGAGGUGGCAGCUCUGACCACCUCUGGCCCCAGGCCCUCAGGGAGAAAGGAGCAACACACUGCCCCUAGGCGUACGUGUGGCCCAGUUUCUCUCUGCUCUCCAUUAAGUGCAUUCACUCUGCUUGCCUUGGGCCCAGGCCCUGGUGAUCACAGGGUUCAAACAGUGUCCUCCUAGAAAGAAUGGGAGAGCAGCUCACUUCUCUGUGUUCUGCCUCCACUCUGGUCUCCAGAGUUUUCCUGUCCUCUAGAGGCAAGCCAGGCCAGGGAGCUGGGAGCGAGCAAGCUGAGGCCACGUCCACAAGGAGCUUUUCAUGCCCCUGUGCCGCAUAGCCUCACCUCUCUCCUCCCGAGUGGCUCUCUGCGGCCCUGUGUUCCUGCUACAGAGGGUUCUUUUCUGGAGUCAGGAUGUUCUCGGUCACCCUCCUGGCUCUGCCCUGUCCCACUCCACCCCACCCCAGGGGGGAACAGUAGCUGCACCUUGCUAUCCCCACUGCUCUCCUGGUUCACUCUUACGGGCGGUCUCCGGUGACUGAAGCAUUCCCCACCCUUGGAAUUUCUCAUCUUCUGCCUCCCUUCUUACUCCUUUUGGUUUUGUGGGGAGAGGGGAAGGAUCAGGGGUCCAGGCCAGCAGCUCGGGGGCCACAGGGAGAUGGAUAAUGUGCCUGUUUUUUAACACGACAAAAAAGCCUACCUCCAAAAUCCCCUUUUUGUUCUUCCUGGACCUGGGCAUUCAGCCUCCUGCUCUUAACUGAAUUGGGAGCCUCUGCCACCUGCCCCGUGUAUCCUGGCUCUCAGCUCAUGGGGAAGCCACACAGACAUCCCUUUCUUCCCUUGCACGCUCGCUAGCAGCUGGUAAGGUCUUCACACCCUCAUUCCUCAAGUUUUCUGCUUAGUGGCACUGACAUUAAGUAGUGGGGGGACAGUCCAUGCCAGGACAUCCUGGAGUAGCCUUCCCCCUUGGCCACGGGCAGGCCCUAACUCACUGUCGCUUUGGAGUUGAGGUGUCCUUUUUUUUCUUUCUUUAGUUCCUGUAUUCUAAACAUUAGUAAAAAUAAAUGUUUUUACACAG
rnacentral:sRNA from 1 species